AGAUUGAACGCUGGCGGCAGGCUAACACAUGCAAGUCGAAUGGUAACAGGAAACAGCUUGCUGUUUCGCUGACGAGUGGCGGACGGGUGAGUAAUGUCUGGGAAACUGCCUGAUGGAGGGGGAUAACUACUGGAAACGGAAGCUAAUACCGCAUAACGUCGCAAGACCAAAGAGGGGGACCUUCGGGCCUCUUGCCAUCAGAUGUGCCCAGAUGGGAUUAGCUAGUAGGUGGGGUAACGGCUCACCUAGGCGACGAUCCCUAGCUGGUCUGAGAGGAUGACCAGCCACACUGGAACUGAGACACGGUCCAGACUCCUACGGGAGGCAGCAGUGGGGAAUAUUGCACAAUGGGCGCAAGCCUGAUGCAGCCAUGCCGCGUGUAUGAAGAAGGCCUUCGGGUUGUAAAGUGCUUUCAGCGGGGAGGAAGGGAGUAAAGUUAAUACCUUUGCUCAUUGACGUUACCCGCAGAAGAAGCACCGGCUAACUCCGUG
rnacentral:rRNA from 1 species